rnacentral:rRNA from 1 species
UACGUAGGGGGCAAGCGUUGUCCGGAUUUAUUGGGCGUAAAGAGCGUGUAGGCGGCCAUGUAGGUCCGUUGUGAAAACUCGAGGCUCAACCUCGAGACGCCGAUGGAAACCAUGUGGCUAGAGUCCGGAAGAGGAGAGUGGAAUUCCUGGUGUAGCGGUGAAAUGCGCAGAUAUCAGGAAGAACACCCGUGGCUAAGGCGGCUCUCUGGGCUGGUACUGACGCUGAGGAGCGAAAGCGUGGGGAGCGAACAGG